GAGGACUUGAUUUCUCCCACCUUUGCUGUCUUCCUAAGAACCUGCUGUAAGAGUGCCUGUGAUUGGUUCUUAUGAGGCCAAAAGCACUAGUCCUCGUGCUCUAGGAGCUAUAUCCCAUAGUGUAUAGAUACUGAGAGAGCUUCCAGACACACUAAUCUGUAUGAAAGAACAGACACAGUUGAGCAACCCAGAGAUCAAGGUGAUAAAUCAUUGUAUUUAAUGGGAAUAACCAAGAGAAAUGUUGUAUACAUCUGUAUUGUUUAAUAUUUCCUAACUAAAGCAGUAUUAAUUUUUUCUCUUCUAUCUUAAUCGAAGGUUAUCUGACGUUAUAUCACUUUAAAGAGUCGUAGCAUCUGGUGAUAGCAGCUCUUCCAGCUGAGCUGACCAAGGAAAUAAACUCCUCUGAGUACAGAACAGGUAUACUGAACAAUUUAUUUUCUUUUUUAGAGAGAGGUUGAGUGAAUGUGGCAGUAGUUCGAGUUGGUGGGCUAUUAAUGUGUGCCUUGAUACAAACUUUUCAUGACUUAGGUAAUCUGAGGGACUCAUUCCCCUGACUAAAAUGGGCUAAUAACACUUUCUAAUGUUACUCGGUGUGGGAGAAAGAAAUACAGCAAGUCCCAUGACCAAUUAGAAUGCUAGGGUACCAGGACAGUGCAGAAACUUAGAAUAACUUUCCUGGGAACUGAGCAGUUUCAUUGGGAGGCCAAAGAUAGGUGAUAAAAAUGAAUUCUUCAUGAUUAAUUAUGUAAACUAUCCUUUUCCUAGUAAGUGUUACUAAUGAAUAUGUGUCAACACCCCCUUGAACUAUUCACUGUAAUAACUAUUCAUGUAUUCAUUACUAUUAUUGGUAGAUAGCAGGAUAUAUAUGAAAGAGCCUUUGUAUUACGAAGCUUACUAUACUUGAUUAGUUAUAUCCAGCUAGUGUAUACAAAAUAUUCUUGUGCAAUUAGGGAAUAAUACAAUCUGAUCAAUUGUCAAUGACUGAUAUUUUUCUUUAAUGUUACUCAAAAUUGGAACCUUUUGUAAGACUACCUAACAACAAGCUUUAAAGCCCUAGAAUAUCAACAGUAAAAUCAUAGCUUCCUUUAUAAAGCAGAGAUCAGAAGCAUAAUAAAAAUAUUUCUAUUACUAACUUCAGUUCUCUUUUAGCAAUUCAAGUAAGUUUGUUUUGUGCAGGGAAGUUACAUGUAGAAGAGGGAAAGCAGAUCAGUUUGCAUAACUCUUUCAUGCCCUUCUACGGUUAUUAAGGCAUAAAACCACUACCUCAGCAGUACUGAAACACCAGCUUCUUUUUGCUUUUGUUUUCUUACAGCUUCUCAGUGGGGAAAUAUAGGCACUGAGGCCAGUAUGAGGGCUUAGUAGUGAGGGGACUAAUCUUACUGGCAGGUUUAUAUGUUAUGCUAAAAUAUCACACACUUGAAAGCAUCAAUCUUUUUGGGUAGAUCUCUUUUCCUCUCCUAUCCACUUUUUCCUCUACCUCAGAUUUCUGUUAAAAGAACAAAUCACUUGUGUUUUCUUGUCUUAAAUCUAGACCAGAAUUUUUGAAAUACAUGCAUGGAGUCAGUUGCAUGAUGUUUAGCCUUUGCUAGUAAUCAUUUUCAAUAAAUUAGCAGAUGAUGUCCUACUCAGUUUUCCAUAGUUUCAGACUGUCAGUGUUCUUAUACAAAUUGAAUACGUACAUAUUCUGGGUAUUUGUGACAUGUUCUAAUAGCUGUUGAAAAACAAGUUUUAGCCUUAAUCUUUUUUCAUUUGGCAUUUUCACUGCAAAGUGACUGAAAACAAGUCAGAGCUAUGCUUCAUUUCAGUCUUAUCCUUAGAGAGUACUUUAUCUUGUUUGGAAGGUUAUUGCAAAAUUCUGACACUGAUAAGCACAAGAGCGACAUAGUCUAUCUUCUGAUAUGCAAUUAGAAUUACUUCAAAUUAAUUUUUCAGUCCUGGUGUUUCAGAAGCAUACUUUUAUUGAGCAUACAGUAUUCAACUUCAUCAAAAUAGUUAAAUUUCUGGCCAUUGUAUUGAUUAAUUUGAUUUGCUGUGGUUCAGUUCCUACCCAAAAUUCAGUUUUUCUCAGUCCCCUUGAAACCUGAAUGAGCUGGUAUCUGAUUUUAAUCCUUUAUUUCCGGGGGAGUUGUUCUUACUGACUAUAUUUCUCUAUCCUCAAAGAUGCAGAUGACAUCAGUUGCAGUAUGUUAGAGAGGAACUUGGCAAAUCUCUUCAAUAUUACAUGUCCUCAGUGUAUUACCAGUUCAGAGUUCUGCAGCUGUAUCAAUUCUUCAGGAAUUGAGACGUUUCUGCCCCAGAUACUGCAUCUAUAGUGAGUACCUAAAGACUAAAUGUGAAGGAUUUAGUUUACUAUGGUUUCCAGCAAUAUAAUUAUCAAACAACUGUAUUUAAAGUAGCAAGGCUCUUAAAAAACUCACAGAUCUUUUUGUAGUGACUUCUGAACCCAGCUAGAAUAGCUAGGAAGAAUUAGAACAAUAGAAAUUCCUCCUUUGUAGUAUCUACAUAUCUAAGUAUUGCAUGCAGAAUUUAAGAGAUAUAUAUAUAAAUUUGAGGGCUUUACAAAAGUAAGUGUUCUUGUCAUUUCAUGCAGAGAGAAAUUGCACCGUCGAAAGUUGCAAUUACUUCUGAAAGACAAAGCAGGGUUAGAUGCCACUGCUGUUGUAAUGCAAGUGUAACGUAUCAGUUGUUCAGACUGUUCUCACUGCUUUUGAAAUGCCUUGUGCCUCUUGAUACUCUAUAUGCGUAUGUAUGUUUGCUCUGCAUUUCUUCUUAAAGUCUUCAUAAGUAUACAGUAUUUGCCUAGGCUUCCUUGUGCUCUUUCACCCUGCCUGAUAGUGACGCGUUACAAGCCUGCCCACUCACUCUCCAGGAUUUAAUUUAACUUUUCACGGGCUCUUAGUUUUUGCUCACCUUCCUUGUUUGAAGCAUGUGAGAGAUUUUCUUUCUCAAAGAGUUUUUACUGCUCUCAUUGUGUGACCUACUCCUGGAAAUUGCUUGUUCCUUAUUAGCAGAUGCCCAAAGCCACUGACAUUAGCAUCCCAGAUUUGUAAUGAAGGGAGAUUGCUGCCAUGCAAAGGGGGGAGAGAGAAAUGGAAAAUUCCUCUCAGUGCCUCCCCUGCAAAGGCAGCCUUCUCAUAAUGAAUCACCAAGAGAAAUCUUCAUGAUGAUGGACGGGGACCAGUGGGGGUGGCAGGAGAGAGUUGAAGGCAACAGGGAGUUAUUCUCUAAUUAUUCUUUCCUGACAAGGUAGAAUAACAGACACAUAGGGUUGUACAUCAAACUACUGCUUCUUGCACUCUGCUCAUUACAGAAGCACCAGCAUCCCCCAUGGGGGAUAACCCAUGCUCUUGGGUUAUCACACCCUAAGACAAUGUCUUUAACUGUCACCUUCCACUGUGGCAAUGAUAAGAUGGCUGUUUUUUUUGUGUGUGUGAAGUAAGGGAAAAAAAAAGAAAAAAAGUGAAAGAAGUCAAGCAGCCCUGCUGUGUGUGCUACACAUAAAAGCUGCACAAUGAGCAGUCACAGUAGCUAGCAAUCUGAGCGUAUGGAUGUUAGGAACCUAAUGUACUGAACUUGAAGAUUCCCAUUGUUUCUGGUGGUAUAGGGUAAAUGCCAAAAAAAAAAACCAACCCUUCUUCCAUAUCUUCUCGCUUAAUUGAUGCUUCUUCCUAUUCUGUUUCAUCUGUUCUAUGUGAUACCCUUCCAUGGGAAUGAAUUCUGUUAAGCUUGCAGUAGAACAGACUUCGUGUGCUCGUCAAAUUUGCUGAGAGUUCAGAGUACUUACAGCUGAAUAAAUAUUGCAUUCUGGUGAUGACUGGCUGUUCACCAUGAUGCUGCCUUACAGAAAGGAACUUUACUCUUUUGGCAAAUGGCAAUUUUUCUGUUGCUGAGUCCUCAAACUUCUUUGCCUUUGUGUCUAGAUGCAAACACAAAUAUGUGCAUUAAUAAUGUGUUUUGCAUUCUUGUACAUUAUGUGCACAUAUGAGAGUACAUCCAAGGAGGAAAAAGGCAUAUAUCUAAAUGCAGAAGGAGAAUUGAUAGUCCAGGCAAACAGGCCACAUCCCUUUGCCUGUUGUGAGACGCCAGGGCCACUGUACAUCUGUUCAGUUGCUGUAAUGUUCUUUUUGUCAUGUUGCAAAGCCUCACUUGUUGGAUGUGUAAUAUCCUUGUAUAUUGUUAUAGUAGUGAUUUAUUGCUAUUUUGUGCAAAACUUUGCUAGCUUUCUGUGAGCUGCUUGGUGUAAGCAAGUUUAAGUAAAGUUUUUUUUUGUGCAACAUCAGCUGCUUGCUGUAGCAUAGCUGAUUUUUAGAAAUCUUCAGUUGUUUAUAUAUAGGUCUUGUGAAAACCUGAACCUGAUGGUAAAUGAGACCCAGAUUCUUGAAAAUCUGGCCUUCACACUGAGUUCUAAACACCUAAAAAAAUUGGACUUGAGCUUGGAAAAUUCAUCCUCAGAAAGAUCAGGAUUUACAUAGAGCUUGUUUGUAAAUGGUUUCAGUGGGAAAUGCUGGCAGAGCCAUCCCUUUAGUAUUAAUUGUUAACCUGUUUUGCGGGCCACCCAUUCUGCUGAUGCAAUAGAAGAAACCUAAAUGGAACAGGUCGUUCAUUGCCCAGAUUAUUAUUACUGAUUCCUCUUAGCUGAUAGGGUGAAAAA